rnacentral:rRNA from 1 species
AGAGUUUGAUCAUGGCUCAGAUUGAACGCUGGCGGCAUGCUUUACACAUGCAAGUCGAACGGCAGCACGGGGGCAACCCUGGUGGCGAGUGGCGAACGGGUGAGUAAUGCAUCGGAACGUAUCCUUGAGUGGGGGAUAACGCAGCGAAAGUUGUGCUAAUACCGCAUAAGCUCUGAGGAGGAAAGCGGGGGACCGAAAGGCCUCGCGCUGAAGGAGCGGCCGAUGUCCGAUUAGCUAGUUGGUGAGGUAAAGGCUUACCAAGGCGACGAUCGGUAGCUGGUCUGAGAGGAUGAUCAGCCACACUGGGACUGAGACACGGCCCAGACUCCUACGGGACGCAGCAG